rnacentral:rRNA from 1 species
GGAUUAGAUACCCUGGUAGUCCACGCUGUAAACGAUGAGAACCAGCCGUUGGAUUCUUUACUGGAUUUAGUGGCGCAGCUAACGCGCUAAGUUCUCCGCCUGGGGAGUACGGCCGCAAGGUUAAAACUCAAAUGAAUUGACGGGGGCCCGCACAAGCGGUGGAGCAUGUGGUUUAAUUCGAAGCAACGCGAAGAACCUUACCUGGCCUUGACAUCCUGCGGACUUGGGAGAGAUUCCUUGGUGCCUUCGGGAGCGCAGAGACAGGUGCUGCAUGGCUGUCGUCAGCUCGUGCCG